GAUGAACGCUGGCGGCGUGCUUAACACAUGCAAGUCGAACGAAGCACUUUAUUUGAUUUCCUUCGGGACUGAUUAUUUUGUGACUGAGUGGCGGACGGGUGAGUAACGCGUGGGUAACCUGCCUUGUACAGGGGGAUAACAGUUGGAAACGGCUGCUAAUACCGCAUAAGCGCACAGCAUCGCAUGAUGCAGUGUGAAAAACUCCGGUGGUAUAAGAUGGACCCGCGUUGGAUUAGCUAGUUGGUGAGGUAACGGCCCACCAAGGCGACGAUCCAUAGCCGACCUGAGAGGGUGACCGGCCACAUUGGGACUGAGACACGGCCCAAACUCCUACGGGAGGCAGCAGUGGGGAAUAUUGCACAAUGGGCGAAAGCCUGAUGCAGCGACGCCGCGUGAGCGAAGAAGUAUUUCGGUAUGUAAAGCUCUAUCAG
rnacentral:rRNA from 1 species